ACUCAAAGGAAUAGACGGGGACCCGCACAAGCAGAGGAGCAUGUCGUUUAAUUCGACGAUACACGAAAAACCUUACCAAGGCUUGACAUCGUGCGCAUAGCAUGGAAACAUGUGAAAUCAUAGCAAUAUGACGCAUAGACAGAUGGUGCAUGGUUGUCGUCAGCUCGUGUCGUGAGAUGUUGGGUUAAGUCCCGCAACGAGCGCAACCCCUGUGAGAAGUUGCCAGUAUUAAGUUAGGAACUCUUCUCAGACUGCCGUGGAUAACACGGAGGAAGGUGGGGAUGACGUCAAAUCAUCAUGCCUCUUACGCCUUGGGCAACAAACGUGCUACAAUGGCGUCUACAAAGUGUUGCCAACCAGCAAUGGGGAGCUAAUCACAAAAAAGACGUCCCAGUUCGGAUUGUGGGCUGAAACUCGCCCGCAUGAAGUUGGAUUUGCUAGUAAUCCCGAAUCAGCAUGUCGGGGUGAAUGCGUUCCCGGGUCUUGUACACACCGCCCGU
rnacentral:rRNA from 1 species